UCUCUGAUAGCUCAGCCAGUAGAGCAUGAGACUCAUGCUCAAGGUUGUGGGUUCAAGCCCCAUGUCGGGUAA